ACUUUAGUGGGAGAAGCCUGUAGAAGACCUGUCAGUUUCAGCUAUCAUUGAUAGAAGGACAACCAACGAAGAUGCUACUGGCAACUUUGUUAGUCAUUCUAUGGCUACAGCUGGCCUGGGUGAGUACUCAACAGCUGAAUCAGAGUCCUCAGUCCAUAAGCAUUCAGGAAGGAGAAGACUUUAUCACGAACUGCAGUUCCUCGACCAGUUUGCCCAUACUACAGUGGUAUAGACAGGAUCCUGGGAAAGGUCUUACCUUCUUGAUGGCAUUGUCUAAGGGGAAAGAACUGAAGCGUCAGGGGAAGAUAACUGCUCAGUUGGAUGAAAAAAGGCAACAUAGCUUCCUGUUCAUCACAGGAACUCAACCCGGAGACUCAGCCAGAUACUUUUGUGUUUAUACACAGUGUUCCCUAAACACCUGA